rnacentral:rRNA from 1 species
UACGAAGGGGGCUAGCGUUGCUCGGAAUCACUGGGCGUAAAGCGCACGUAGGCGGAUUGUUAAGUCAGGGGUGAAAUCCUGGAGCUCAACUCCAGAACUGCCUUUGAUACUGGCGAUCUUGAGUCCGGGAGAGGUGAGUGGAACUGCGAGUGUAGAGGUGAAAUUCGUAGAUAUUCGCAAGAACACCAGUGGCGAAGGCGGCUAUCUGGACGGUUUCUGACGCUAAGACGCGAAAGCGUGGGGAGCAAACAGG